rnacentral:tRNA from 1 species
GGAAAUGUAGUACAAUGGUUUGGGAGUUUGGCUUAUAACUCAAAAGUUCUAGGUUCAAAUCCAAGAAUUUAUA